CUGAAAUCUAUUUAAAUUAAAAUGUAAGAUAUUAUGUGUCGGAUGUAGGUAGGGCUCUGUAGGUUCCACCACUUCUCCAUAACUACGCAAUAAUUAUUUGCAGUCUCCCGGUCUGUUAUUGUUGUUAUGUAAACUCUUUAUUUCGAGCAAUGCAUCAGCUGUUUUUUCUUUUAUUCAAAGACACUCUGAAAAACCAGCAAAAUAUGGGAGACGACUAAUUGAUUUUAUUAUUUAUUUAUUGUUCACAUGUAAUUUACUGGCCUACUUUAAUAUUUACCUUUGGGGAAGAGAGAACUAAGCAUGGCUUGAAAGACCAGUGUGGCCAGAUAUUGUAUACCUGUGCCAAAUGGGUCAUGCUAAGCUCCCCUAGAUCCUGCGACGUAGAGAACAUCAACCGAUUGCCGUAUUACAAGGUGACCGAAAAGGCUGCAUCGUUAAAUUGAGGCCAAUUAUAAACUUUUCUUAUCUCAAUGAUAAUCAAACAGGAUUUGUGAUCUGUGAGGUAUGAUUAAAAUUGAUGGCGACGUCGACUGGAACACCGUUACUGACAUUGGCGAUGAGAGUAUGAAGUACCAUUGGCCAAAGGAAAGCAAGAACUCCGAAGAGAACUUAGAUUGUAGAAAACCGAGAGCUUCAGUUACUUAAGAGUUAUCAGGAAAGUUGAGGAAUUCUUAUAGAUCUCACCUUCCAAUCGUAUACGAAAACCUUUCCUGGAAGAAGCUUUUUAGCCUAACUCCGAAUUUCGAUACUUAAUUUCCUCAUAAAUAUGUUUAUUUAAAUAAUUUGCCAAUAAAAUAACCACCCUUAAUAAGUUCAUUUUCACAUACAAAACUCAGUUUAGUUUUAUAGUAUUCGUUGUGUUUGACAAAUAUUUAAGUAGAUGACAUUUUGUAUACAUCAAAAAUAAAAUGGAUAUAUUACAAAUAUAAAGAUUAAAAUAUCAUACACACAUAA